rnacentral:misc_RNA from 1 species
AAGUCGUAACAAGGUUUCCGUAGGUGAACCUGCGGAAGGAUCAUUAUUGAAAAGUUUUGGGGGUAUUGUCGCUGGCCUUUAACAAGGCAUGUGCACGUAUCUCUAAUCUAUUCAUCCACCUGUGCACUUUUUGUAGGAGUUUUUUCAGAUUGGCUUGCGGGUCUUCUAGACCUUGUAUAGUUGAUUUGCGAGACUUCUAUGUCUUUAUAAACCAGUUAAGCAUGUUUAGAAUGUGUUGUAUUGGGACUUAAUUGACCCAUUAAACUAUACAACUUUCAGCAACGGAUCUCUUGGCUCUC